AUAAAACACCAUGGGCUACAGCAAGUUUGGGAUCAAGAUUAUCAGUUGGAAUUGACUAGUUUCAGAUUCAGACAGAAUUUGUGGGUGUUGCCAGACUGUCAGAUUACAUCAGCGCAACUUCUCAUUAUCUGAGCCAGUUGGAAAAAAAGAUGAAAAGAAGUAGUGCUGCUCUCAUUCCUGGAUCAGGACUGGGUUUCAAAGACUCGACAAAUUUAUUGAUUCCCAGCAAACCAAGAAAUGUCAACAACAGAAGCACCUUGAUAUGCUUAGAAAAUAAAUAAAUGA